GCGAGUAUAGCUCAGUUGGUAGAGCGCGACCUUGCCAAGGUCGAGGUCACGAGUUCGAGCCUCGUUACUCGCUCCA
rnacentral:tRNA from 9 species